rnacentral:rRNA from 1 species
GGCAACGGCCAUACCACGUUGAAAACACCGGUUCUCGUCUGAUCACCGAAGUUAAGCAACGUUGGGUUUGGUUAGUACUUGGAUGGGUGACCGCCUGGAAUACCAAAUGCUGUUGUCU